UCACAUCAUAGUAUAUUUAUACAAUGGAAUGCUACACCGCAAAAUAAAGAAAAAAAGGUUCACCCUUGGCCAUGCUGGCGCGGCACAGAUGCCCGACCAUUGAGCCACACAGGCUGGACUCCACUGGGAUGUGAAGUCAGAGGCUCUCCGCUCACUGAUGCACUAUUAUGAAUUGGCACGCGCCUCUCUGUCCCUG